AGGUAAAUAACCAACAUUAAUAGGAUAUGCGUUCAGUAGCUAUAUUUUUAUAAGUCUUGCAGCUAUAUUAUAAGAACUGCAGCCACAUUAUAAGUUACACAGCCUUUAACGAUAUCCACGAAUUUUCCGUGUGUAGAUAGUGUGGGAUAGUU